CACUAACUGGAGGACCGAACCGACUAAUGUUGAAAAAUUAGCGGAUGACUUGUGGCUGGGGGUGAAAGGCCAAUCAAACCGGGAGAUAGCUGGUUCUCCCCGAAAGCUAUUUAGGUAGCGCCUCGUGAAUUCAUCUCCGGGGGUAGAGCACUGUUUCGGCAAGGGGGUCAUCCCGACUUACCAACCCGAUGCAAACUGCGAAUACCGGAGAAUGUUAUCACGGGAGACACACGGCGGGUGCUAACGUCCGUCGUGAAGAGGGAAACAACCCAGACCGCCAGCUAAGGUCCCAAAGUCAUGGUUAAGUGGGAAACGAUGUGGGAAGGCCCAGACAGCCAGGAUGUUGGCUUAGAAGCAGCCAUCAUUUAAAGAAAGCGUAAUAGCUCACUGGUCGAGUCGGCCUGCGCGGAAGAUGUAACGGGGCUAAACCAUGCACCGAAGCUGCGGCAGCGACACUAUGUGUUGUUGGGUAGGGGAGCGUUCUGUAAGCCUGUGAAGGUGUACUGUGAGGUAUGCUGGAGGUAUCAGAAGUGCGAAUGCUGACAUAAGUAACGAUAAAGCGGGUGAAAAGCCCGCUCGCCGGAAGACCAAGGGUUCCUGUCCAACGUUAAUCGGGGCAGGGUGAGUCGACCCCUAAGGCGAGGCCGAAAGGCGUAGUCGAUGGGAAACAGGUUAAUAUUCCUGUACUUGGUGUUACUGCGAAGGG
rnacentral:rRNA from 1 species